AAUGGAUUUCUAUCUAAAUGUAUUCGAUGAUGAUGUGUAAGGAAGAUUGGAAUACAUAUUCACAGAACUCAGCUGGAUUUUGAUUUAAGAUUGGGCAUUUCGAACACAUAAAUAUUAAGUGGGUGUUUUAUGUUUUGCAGGAUCACCAAAUAUGGAAGAUGUUUUGUUCGUCGAUUCAAAAAAAUGAGAAUGUUGACGAUAAAGUGAUUGCCCUGGAAGAUGAAACGGUAAGUGGAGUUGGAUUGACUGCGUCUAAGAUUGGUGUGCAGUUCAAGGAAGAAAAGGAAGUGUAUGAUUUUUACGCAAGCUAUGCUUAUGCUAUAGGUUUUUGAGUUAGAAAGAAGAGUUCGAUGAGUGAUGAUGAUGUUGUUUUGAGAUUUUCACGUUAACCUGUAGUCGGAAGGAAAGAAGAAGUGGUAAUACAAGAUAUCCAUGGUUACUGGAAAAUUGGCACCGUUUACCCUGACCACAAUCAUAAGACAAGCCCUACUAAGUCCAUAUUGUAUCGAUGCAACCAAAAAUUGAGUUAACACAUGAAAUGGAAGCUCGAAGUGAAUAAUAUAGCUGGAAUACCAUUGCAUAAAAGAUUUAACUCCGCAGUUGUUGAAGUUCGAAAUACCUCCUAAGGGAGCUUUGAUGUAAAAAUGUUUAGUGCGAGCACAAAUUUAGUUGGUUAUGAGACUUGAUUAAGUGGAAUUGUAUGGUGUAUUGAUUGAAAAAGUGAUUAUUGCUUAUCACUGUUCCUUAAUUUGAAAUAUUAUGUAUCAUGUUUUGUUUUGUGGAAAAUCAUGUCCUGAGCAGUGUGAUGGAAUAAGAUAGAAC
rnacentral:lncRNA from 1 species